UUUCAUGUGUGGACUUCCUUCCUCAAUGCACCUGCUCUCGAGCUACCAGAAUUCAUGGAACACAUGUAGAUGGGUGUAUUUUGCCUGCCCAGAGAAGGCACACCUAUGGGUUUUUGCUCAAGACCAUGUCUUUACAUGAAGGUCUCUCUCAACACCUGUGAAAAUCAACUUUUGGGCAAAGAGAGCAGUUCACAUUUUCACAAUGCUCUACAUAGCAGGUCGACUUGGGACAGCAAAGAGUGAGGAUAGUAGCCACACACACACACACAUACACAUCCCCCACCGCCACCCAGGCCUCUCGAGUUCUGAGUCAGACACUUGAAUUAUGAGUCGGAAAGAAAGGUAUUCAAAUGUCCUCAGCUGUUCUGAAACUCUUGAGCUAGGUGAAUAAAUUAGCAACUGUUCUGACCCAUCUCAAAUUCAUGUGCCAGCUGUGGGAAGAUGGGAUUGGUUUUCCAGAUGAGCAGGCCAAUGCCCACAACAGAGAAUAAGGAAGUGGUUAGUCACAUUUGAUUCGGCAUCUGAACAGUAUUGAAGAACCUAGUCAGGGUAUUAUUUGGCAGCAGGUCGGGCUGGCCUGUGAGCUGAUUGUGCCCACUUGCCUCUAAGGUGGAGCGCACCUUCCUGCUGUAGCUUGCCUGAAUGGUUACUUAUAUAUAUAUAUUUUUUAACAUUGUAUCUAUCCUGAGGCCACCUGCAUGUUUAACGCUUUCUUCCUGGAUUGUAUACAAGUAUCUUGUGUUGAUAGGCAGUAUUGGGCAUCUGUAUCUCUGUUAUUGUUAUUCAUUUUAUAUGUAUUAUUAUUUUCCCACAUGUACGUCUGAGCCCCAGUAUGUAUUUGAUACCUGAGGAAGCCAGAUGAGGAUGUUGGCACUCCUGGAACUGGGUAUAUAUAUAUAUAUAUAUAUAUAUAUAUAUGGUUGUAAACUGUUAGGUUGUGCUGGGAAUCUAACCCAUGUCCUCUGGAAGAACAAGUGCUCUUAACUGCUGAGCCAUCUCUCUAUCCCCUUGUUUGAUUUUUUUUUUUUUUUGAGACAGGGUCUUACGUAGUCCAGACUGGCCUGGAAAUGGUUAAGUAGCCAAUAUGACCUUAAAUUCCCCAUCUUCUGUGUCAUCCUCCUGGGUGUAAUUGCUAGGAUUACAGGUUUGUGCCACCAUGGCAAUACUGGGCUAUCAGCAGAUACUUUGAAAAGGAAAUGUCAAAGCAUUCUUAGAUGGAGGUCAGGCAUAUAACAUAGUCAAGGCUUCUUAUCUAUAGGAAACACAGAUGAGAGCUAAUCUGGGCUCUCAUGAUGCCACUUGACAGACCACAAGAGGACUCCUUUGGGGGGAAUCCUGAGAAGAGCCUGUCUUGUAUUUUUUUUUUUAACAGUGUCUGCAUGUGUAUGCCACAGGUUGAGGGAGGCUUUCCACUAAACUGUUUCACUGAAACCUCUUCUUGAUGGCCUCUCUGUGGAGGAUGUGAGCAAGUGAGAAGGGACCACCUGAAGACUCUGAGGACAGAUAACGGGUGACAAUCACAUGCCCUGCAUCAGCAGAAACUGGAGGGAUGUCAAGGAAGGAACAGGCAUCUGGGUGACUGAGACACACACAGAUAAAAGGCCCUGGGGGCUGAAUGUGACAGUCCAUGCCCAUGUCCCAGUUCUGAAAGUCAUGAGGGGAUAACUUGAGCUUCUUAGAAAGGCAUUGUCUCAAAAAUAAACAAAUGAAAGAUGCAAAAGGAUGGGUGAAUGAGGAAACAAAGACAAGGAGAGUUUGCUCAGCACUUCUGAUGGGGUUGAGGGACAAGCUUUCCCAAAUGCAGAUACAGAUAUGGAGCUGAUGUAAUGGUUCAGGAUGCAAAGGCUCUUGCCACCAGGUCCUACACCCUGAGUGUGAUUCCUAGAACUAAGAU
rnacentral:lncRNA from 1 species